GCAAUUCCUUCAGGGAUCUUCUUCUGAGGGUUCAGAAGAAGGAAACAUCUUCUGUGUCCAAGAACUUAAGGAUUUCCCAGUACUCGGGAGGCUAAGGCAGGAAGAUAAAAAAAGAAUUCAAGGACUUAUAGAUGCAAAGAAGUACUAUGAGAAGGAUUUUUGUCCUGGAUCAGCUGUCACCGUACUGCAGCGCUUGUGUUCAAGUAACCUUCACGUACGAGCCUCUUGCUGUACUACAGAGCCAGCACCACAGCUCACUUCAUCUGGUCACAUAGGCACCGGAUCAUGUCAUGUCAUCACAGGAACAGACUUGUGGAGUCCGGCGUCGUGGUGCACGCCUGUAGUCCCAGCACUGAGGAGGCUGAGGCGGGAGUCUGGCUGUGGGUCCGAGGCCAGCCUGGACUACAUAGCGAGACCGUCUCCAAAAACCAAACAAUAAAUGAAUGAAUAAACAAACAGGAUUUGUGUCUCCCAGUGCCUGGCUUUGCUCCAGUUA